rnacentral:rRNA from 1 species
AUUGAACGCUGGCGGCAUGCCUUACACAUGCAAGUCGAACGGCAGCACGGGUGCUUGCACCUGGUGGCGAGUGGCGAACGGGUGAGUAAUACAUCGGAACAUGUCCUGUAGUGGGGGAGAGCCCGGCGAAAGCCGGAUUAAUACCGCAUACGAUCUACGCACGAAAGCGGGGGACCGUCGUGCCUUGCGCUAUAGGGUUGGCCGAUGGCUGAUUAGCUAGUUGGUGGGGUAAAGGCCUACCAAGGCGACGAGCAGUAGCUGGUCUGAGAGGACGACCCGCCACCCUGGCACUGAGACACGGCCCAGACUCCUACGGGAGGCCGCAGUGCGGAAUUUUGGGCAAUGCGGCAAAGCCUGAUCCAGCACUGCCGCGUGUGUGAAGAUGCCCUUCUGGUUCUAAAGCACUUUUGUCCGGAGAGAUGUACUUGGCUCUAAUCCAGUCUGGUGAUGACGGUACCGGAAGAAUAAGCUCCGGCUAACUCCGUG